CAAUAGCGUAUAUUAAAGUUGUUGCAGUUAAAAAGCUCGUAGUUGAAAUUAGGCUUCUUAGUCUUUCUGAAUGUCAAUGGAUUUCAAUUAUGGUCCAUUGAAUUUUUCAGAUCUUUACUGUGAAAAAAUUAGAGUGCUCAAAGCAGGCUUUAGCUUGAAUAUUAAAGCAUGGAAUAAUAAAAUAUGACUUUGUUCAUUUUAUUGGUAUAUGAAUAGAGUAAUGAUUAACAGAAACAGUUGGGGGCAUUUGUAUUUGAUAGUCAGAGGUGAAAUUCUUAGAUUUAUCAAAGACAAACUAAUGCGAAAGCAUUUGGCAAGAAUGUUUUCAUUAA
rnacentral:rRNA from 1 species